rnacentral:rRNA from 1 species
CUGCAGCUCAAGUGGUGACCGCUAUUAUUGGGCCUAAAACGUCCGUAGCCGGCUGAGUAAAUGCCUGGGUAAAUCGUGUCGCUUAACGAUACGAAUUCCGGGUAGACUGCUUAGCUUGAGACCGGGAGAAGCUAGAGGUACUCCUGGGGUAGAGGUGAAAUUCUGUAAUCCUGGGGGGACCACCAGUGGCGAAGGCGUCUAGCUAGAACGGGUCUGACGGUGAGGGACGAAACCCUGGGGCGCGAACCGGAUUAGAUACCCGAGUAGUCC